rnacentral:rRNA from 1 species
UACGAAGGGGGCUAGCGUUGCUCGGAAUUACUGGGCGUAAAGGGCGCGUAGGCGGCCCCUUUUGUCGCGUGUGAAAGCCCCGGGCUCAACCUGGGAACGGCACUCGAUACUGCGGAGCUCGAGUACGAGAGAGGGGGGUGGAAUUCCGGGUGUAGCGGUGAAAUGCGUAGAGAUCUGGAGGAACACCGGUGGCGAAGGCGGCCCCCUGGUUCGAUACUGACGCUGAGGUGCGAAAGCGUGGGGAGCGAACAGG